rfam:Triticum urartu cultivar G1812 contig219745, whole genome shotgun sequence.
UAUCUACUCCCUCCGUCCGGAAUUACUUACCGCGGAAAUGAAUAAAAAUGGAUGUAUUUAUCACUUAAAUACGUCUAGAUACAUUCAUUUCUCCGGCAAGUAAUUCCGGACGGAGGGACUAUUUA